GGGUAGGUAGUUUGAACCGGAUAAAAUAAUAGUCUCCAAAACUAUAGUAAUGGGUUCGAGUCCCAUCCUACCCA
rnacentral:tRNA from 1 species